rnacentral:rRNA from 1 species
GCAAUGGACGAAAGUCUGACCGAGCAACGCCGCGUGAGUGAAGAAGGUUUUCGGAUCGUAAAGCUCUGUUGUAAGUCAAGAACGUGUGUGAGAGUGGAAAGUUCACACAGUGACGGUAGCUUACCAGAAAGGGACGGCUAACUACGUGCCAGCAGCCGCGGUAAUACGUAGGUCCCGAGCGUUGUCCGGAUUUAUUGGGCGUAAAGGGAGCGCAGGCGGUCAGGAAAGUCUGGAGUAAAAGACUAUGGCUCAACCAUAGUGUGCUCUGGAAACUGUCUGACUUGAGUGCAGAAGGGGAGAGUGGAAUUCCAUGUGUAGCGGUGAAAUGCGUAGAUAUAUGGAGGAACACCAGUGGCGAAAGCGGCUCUCUGGUCUGUCACUGACGCUGAGGCUCGAAAGCGUGGGUAGCGAACAGGAUUAGAUACCCUGGUAGUCCACGCCGUAAACGAUGAGUGCUAGGUGUUAGGCCUUUCCGGGGCUUAGUGCCGGAGCUAACGCAAUAAGCACUCCGCCUGGGGAGUACGACCGCAAGGUUGAAACUCAAAGGAAUUGACGGGGGCCCGCACAAGCGGUGGAGCAUGUGGUUUAAUUCGAAGCAACGCGAAGAACCU